GACGAACGCUGGCGGCGUGGAUUAGGCAUGCAAGUCGAACGGUAUCAUCCUUUCGGGGGUGAGAGAGUGGCGAACUGGUGAGUAACACGUAGGUGAUCUACCCUCAAGAUUGGGACAACCCAGGGAAACUUGGGCUAAUACCGGAUGAAAGCAGCAGUGAUGUUGUUUGAAAGGUGGCGUAAGCUGCCGUUUGGGGAUGAGCCUGCGCUCUAUUAGUUAGUUGGCGGGGUAAAGGCCCACCAAGGCGAUGAUAGAUAGGCGGCCUUAACGGGUGGUCGCCCACACUGGGAUUGAGAUACGGCCCAGACUCCUACGGGAGGCAGCAGUCGAGAAUAGUCUACAAUGGUCGGAAGACUGAUAGUGCGACGCCGCGUGAACGAUGAAUCCCUUCGGGGUGUAAAGUUCUUUUAUAUGUGAGCAGUGCUUCUUAUAUUAACAGUAUGGGGAGAGAGAUAUUAGCAUAUGAAUAAGCAACGGCUAACUCCGUGCCAGCAGCCG
rnacentral:rRNA from 1 species